UUGCAAUGUUAUUAAUUAAAAUGUAGGUUAGGUUAUUGUUUUCAUCACAAGCUGGUAUCUGUUAUAAUGAAUAAACAUAUUCGUAAAUCGUAAUGUACAUUUAAACUCAUAGACUUUUGUCGUUGUUAUACCAAGAGCCAUGUUUCGCUGCGGCAGUAUAAAAUUCGAAAAGGACAGUAUAAGCCCCAUGUUCACAAAUCGUAACCCAAGACAUUUCAAAUACCUACGAAUCGCUAAUAAACCGGACGGCUACUACGGUGAUAAAUCUGGAACGCUCCUACUGGCAUAAAUAUACAAAUUUGCUUUCCUACCGCCUCCAAUAAGACAGCCCGAUUGUAGAUGACAACCGACACAAACAGGCCGUCACGUAACUUCAUUGUUCGUCCAUUACAUCAACGGACCCGACACUCACCGCUAGCACGAAGGAAUGGGCCAUCAAAACCAGGCUGUAUAAGACCAUGCACCAAGUCGUUGGCGUUUCAGUUCUUCGUACAAAGACACCUUGCAAGCGGUCCGACAGAGUUUAUGUGCGAUUGCAAACCCGAACACAACGACAGUAAGGUCACAAAGUUUCUAACGUGCUCCAAGAUUUCAAUUUGAAAUUGUCUGAACCGGAAUAGUCAAGAGAGCCGUGGACGAGAGAAAGAUUACCAAACCCGUGGGAUAUAAUCUGACUUGACAGAUAAUGUGAAUCGAUCUUAAAUUGUGGACCUAUUAGUUUCUGUAAAGAGAAGGCUGAGAAUUGGGUCGCUGCAAUGAAGUGAUAGAAAGCCCUACGUUCAGUCUGUCGAGAUGCUUCCCUGUUUCUAACUCAAAGGUUCUUCCAAAGAAGUUAUAGUGAAUUGGCAAUUUCAAAUUGAAAUCUUGGAGCACAUUAGAAACUUUGCGACCUUACUGACGUUGUGUUCGGGUUUGCAAUCGCACAUAAACUCUGUCGGACCGUUUGCAAGGCAUCUUUGUACUAAGAACUGAAACCUACAAGUAGCAAACAUUAAAUUGAAUGCAGGGACGUUCACGUACGCCAACGACUUGGUGCAUGGUCUUA